rnacentral:rRNA from 1 species
GUCUAUAGCUGUGCCACCCUGAACGUGCUUGAUCUCAUCUGUUCUCAGAAGCUAAGCAGGGUCGGGCCCGGUUAGUGCUUGGAUGAAAGACCAACUAGGAAGACCAGGUGCUGUAUGUG